GGGUGUCACUGCGGCGUCGGUUUUCGAUGGAAACUAAUAGGGAAUCCGCGGCGUCCAGCAGGGCGUCAACCGGAACUGCCCCCGCAACUGUAGGCGGCGAGCUGCAUCUUCAGAACCACUGGGCCGAGGUCUGGGAAGGGAAGAUGACGCCAUGAGCCGUGAGUCAGGAGACCUGCCGACGCAUAACCUGAAACC
rnacentral:ncRNA from 16 species